rnacentral:misc_RNA from 1 species
UUCUUUCUUUCUUUCUUUUAUUUUUUCUUUUUUAAUGUUCAUGACUAUUUUAUAAGAUUCAUUGUAGCAAGAAAAGAAAGAAAUUGUAAAUGUUAUUUGUUUUCUUGAUCAUGAUAAGGUAAUGCUUUCAUUCAACCAUUGGGGAUAUGGGGAAUGAAGUUGACAUUUAGUCCAAUGUCGUUUUUGAUGUUGGAAUUUGUUGAGGAUGAAAGAAUAGUCCUAGUCGAUGACUACUAUCUAUUUAUAGGUCUCUUUCAUAUUGUUUAAUUGCAAUUAGUGGAGUAAAAUAUAGCAAACUGAAGCCUACUUUAUGUAAUUGUUUUUAAAAAAGAGUUGGUAGGACUUGUAGACAGCAUGUCCUAACCUUUUUAUGUUUUGUCUUGGACAUAAAUAUGAAUCAAUUUCAUUGCUUGGUUUUGCCUAGAUAACAUUUUGUAUGGCGGGGGAGGAUUUACAGAAACAUGAUGAUGGGGAUGCACAAGAGGACAUGCAGUUGAAAAAUGAUGAUGUUGAUGUGCCUGAAGAAUCACAGCCUCUACAAAUACAAGAAUCUAAACCUGAAUUGGCUCAUGAUGACGGAACGAGGUGGCCUGGAUGGCCUGGAGAGAAUGUUUUCAGGAUGUUGGUUCCUGUGCAAAAGGUUGGUAGUAUCAUUGGGAGAAAGGGAGAGUCCAUUAAGAAAAUCAUUGAGGAGACAAAGGCUCGGAUUAAAAUUCUUGAUGGCCCUCCUGGGAUCUUGGAAAGAGCAGUUCUCCGCAAAUCUAAAGCCACAAUUCAAUGAUGAAAGUGGCAUCAAACUAGAAGAACCAAAGAUCGAGAUUGCAGGGGUGAGCACCAAGUGCUGAAAAGUACCAAGAAGAUUUGCAUUGUAUCUGGUCAUGGUCUCUGCAAAAGAAGAGCCCGAUGUUUCUAUAUCUCCAGCCGUGGGUGGUUUGCUGAGGGUUCAUAAGCAAGUUAUUGGUUUAGAUGCUACUGCUAGUCACGCUACUUUAGGCGCCAUCAAGGGCAAAAUUGUCACCAGACUUCUAGUACCUGGUGCUCAAGCAGCAAGCUUGAUUGGGAAGCAAGGCUCCACUAUAAAAUCUAUUCAAGAGGCUUCUGGUUGUAUCAUUCGAGUUCUUGGAGCAGAACACCUGCCAAUUUUUGCUCUGAAAGAUGACAAUAUAGUUGAGAUACAAGGUGAGCCGACAGGUGUGCACAAUGGAGUUGAACUGAUUGCUAGUCAUCUUCGAAAGUUCUUAGUCGACCGCAGUAUUGUUGGAGUGUUUGAAACACAAAUGCAAAUGCCAAUUGUUCGAUCAAACCAGAACAUGCCCCCACAACAAUCUCGGGGCCCUCCUCAAGGUUUUCCAAAAAAUGCUGAUGGUGGAAAUGGUUAUGGGUCCAAUCCCCAAUAUUUGAUGCCUCAUCGUCAAUAUGAUAAUAAUCAUUCAGAUUCUGAUAUACCUCCCUUUGAUAAGCAGCCCCAUCACGGUUCUCCCAUGUAUGGUAGAGAUGCUUUUAUAGGCCAUGCAUCAAAUGCCCAGCCACAAUCAGUGGUUGGAAAGGUCACACACCACAUGCAGAUUCCUCUAUCAUAUGCUAAUGCUGUGAUUGGGGUUUCUGGUGCAAAUAUAAGCUAUAUACGUCGUGCCAGUGGGGCUGCUAUUGCAGUACAGGAAACAAGGGAUGUGCCUAAUGAGAUGACUGUUGAAAUUAAUGGAACUGCUUCACAAAUACAAACAGCUCAGCAGUUGAUACAUGUAUUUCUAUUAUUUCCCUGAUGAUCUUUGAAGCAGCUCAUAGCCUGAUUUUUUGCUGUUUUCUUAUUUAACUACCUAUUACGGAGUGGUAGACAACUAUUGUAUCAUGAAAUUAUCCUGGGCUCAAACCCUGGCAACCUGUCAAAAAAUGUGCCUCCAAUUUGAUUAAUUUCAUGUUUGCUGCUGCUGCCCAAACAUCGCUUUGGAGUACAAGGGAUAUCUGUACAUUACAUAAUUUUCUUUUCCCUACUCUCUCUCUUUCUCUCUCUCUGUGUGUUUAGGGAUAUGGGUGGGCAGGUGCGUUGCUGAUGGGCUAGAAUUCUAGCUACUUUUUUAUGGCAUCACUAUAUGUUUGAGUAAUAUCAAACCAAAAGAGGCAUGAUUACUGCUAGGAUUCAGCAUUUGCUGGUUCUUCAAUUAGAUGUAAUGCAUCACAUUGUUUAUGGCAAUAUGAGCGUGUCAAUAAAUGUAUGACAACAAAGUAUGGAAGAUGUCUCACUUACGUCAAGAAUUGCAUUUGCAAUGUUCUGUUAUUUAGGCAUGCAUUAAGGUUGCAUUUAUUUAUCUCCAUGGUAAAGCCUGUUCAGACAUCGAGUCAUGUUUUAUGCUGCAAUUAUUAUAAUGGGAGAAUUUGCUAGAAGUACGAACCAAUUACCACUAGUUGCUUAUGCUAUAUUAUACUGAUAUCUAUCUCCAUCUUUUCACUGACCUGCCAAUAAAAUCUGUUUCAUUCUGAUGAAUUGGCAGCAAGUGCUGCAUUGCUGUGCUUUCUUUUUGUUAACCUGCCAAUGAAAUGUGUUUCAUUUUGAUAAACUGGCAGCGAGAGUUGCGUUGUAUACUGUUUCACCUUAGCAAUACAUAUUUGUGGAUUAUUAAUUUAUUUUUUCCUUUGUUUUUGGGGAAUUGGAGUAGCAUUUUAUAUGUUUGAUUUAAAUUACCUUCCUCUUUUUUGUGAUGCAGAACUUCAUUGCUGAAGCUAAAAGUAACUUGCAGAACCGGGCAGGAGAAUCAAUUGGUCAGGGAUUUAAUGCUUAUCCAGCUUUCUCAGCCAGUGGAUCAGUCAGUCAAGAGUACACUCCUUAUCCGGCUGAAGAUCUGAUAUACACAUUGCAACCAUCUGAAGGUACUGGAUAUGUGAGCCAUGCUCCAACUGAAGACUAUGGUUCAGUGUAUGGCACCAAUUAUGGUUACUAGAAACCAAGGUUCAUUUGAUUCACUUAUGGUAGAAUAUAUCUGUGGUCAUUCACCUGGAAAUCUGAUAUAGUUUUGGUAAUAGAACUCGGAUGUUAUUUGAUAUUUUUUAAAAUCAACUAGUUAUGUUUUGGUUACAUCUAGUUUGGUUUGUGUUGAGCAUUUGCCAGCUGCAUCUCUUGUGUAGUCCUAGUCUAUUGGGAUCCUCUUGUAGUGUUUCUGCAAUGCUAGUCAGCCAUUGAGUCAUUUCCGUUCUAUUAACGAAAUUGCUAAUUGCUCCAGUUUAUCAAUUUGUUAGUGUCUCCGAAAGCAUCAAUUCCAAAUAAGAAUCCAUAAUCAUGAAUAUUGCAAUUGUAAUGCUUGUCGGUUCUCCUUUUUUCCUUUAAGGCAUAUUGUAGUGAGACUUCUGAAUUUUAUUUGUUUAUCUUCAAAAUCAUCAUGC